UUCUAAUUCAGUGACCUAGUCCUGAAAGAUUUGUCAUAUAAAGUAUGAUAUGCCUCUUCCCUGAAGAAUGAAACUACAAUUUCUGAAAGAAGGAACACUUGGCCUUUAAAGCCAUGUUUGAAACUUGGUGGCAAUACCUGGAGAAGCCAGACAUCCAGCCAUGGUCUGCACCAAUCAGCACAGCUGGGAGGACCUCUGGAUGAUCCCUAACCUCCAACAGCACCAACACUUCUGAUCUCUUUCCCACUUCUUGAUUCCAGGACCCAUUAGAUCCUGAGUACCCAAAACUGGUGAGCAGAUCUACUAGCUACUGUCCUACAUUAAAGACUCUCCUUCAGUUCCAAGAAGCUGAACUCACCAGGUUGUGACCUCAGAAAUCCUCCUCGCUGUGAUUCACUGACAGCAGAGCAACAAGGACUGCUGCUUUCAGCCACAGGCCAUGGGUCUUGCCUGCGCUAGCCCAGUAGCCUGGGUGAGAUGCUUCGGGGUGGUGGACUUCUUACUCAUGUGCACCGGUCAGAGCACUGACCCUGAGAUCCAAGCCUGCCCUGCAGUGUUUCAUCCUCAGCUUCUACCUGUCCGGAAUUCAUGAUCCCCACUCUGGAUCUUGGGAUGUCUGAUAGCCAAGGAUCCAGGGAGACGUAGAAGACCAAGGAGAACAUGCCUUGGCAGAACUUAAUGCAAAAAGACAGUGACCUCUUCCAACCCUUGUGGAAUCAAUUGUGGUUGUGUUUAAUCAUUUUUGGUGGGUUUUGUCACAAAUUCUUUCCAUAUUUACUACACUGUUAUCUUCAUAUUUACGGAAAUGGGCUACUUUCCUUGAUGCCAUUGGACAUUCCCUUUACCUUCAGUGAUCCUCAAAUACAUACAUUUUGCAUGGAUUCUUAGAGCCUCCAGUUUGAAUCCAUACCUAGUAGAUUUGUCACUGUAAACAAAGAUCACUUGGAUGAUGUUAAUACACCCUAGAAUUGCAAUGUCUUUGUGUACUACCCACCACCAAGAUAAAUGAAUUGUCCCUAUUCCUAUUUCCACAUUCAUAUAUAAUACAAAUGCCAUGAAAAUAGUCACUUACAAAUAAAAUAGGGAAGCAUCACAUGAAAAACCUUAACCCCUUAUGAACUCAACC
rnacentral:lncRNA from 1 species